rnacentral:lncRNA from 1 species
UGAAAAUAUAAAUUUUACUUGAUAAAAUAUAAUUAAAUAUCUUUUACACAUAAAUCCAUAAAGGAAAAGUCAAUCUUGCUGGCAUAUGAAGUUUUUUCGAAGGAACUCUUUUUACGACAGUGCUUCGGACGGCACAAAGAAAGCGUGUCAUGCCUAAAAAUACGCAAGGCACGCAGGUAGAUGUGAAGAGGUCGUAGGGACUGGAGGGAAUAAAAAAAAGCAAAGGAAUUGCACAAGAGCAGCGAUUUGGUAUUCAAAUCGCUAGGCAUGUUCCCGCCUCUCUCGUGGCACAGGACCUCCUCCUCCUGUAGCAAUAAUACGAAGGAGGAAUUCGGUCAACUGUUUAAUUCACAUUGAUAUUAAAUUACUCGUUCACUUCCAAAGAGAAACGUCCUCGAGAAACUUCAAUGCGAGAACCAACAGAGGCGUGGAGACUUUAACGACCGCACGUGCAAUGUCUGACUAGCACGGUUACAUAAAGUCAGAAUCAUCGACAAAGGCUUGGUUAUUUCGUGUUUCCGAAUGUUUCACUUUCUCCUGUGGCAUCCGUAUGCUUCGGAAUGAAGCUGUUCCAUAUCCAAGAAUUAAAAUAUCGACGUUUCAUCGUAAUUACAAUGUACACGAUCGCUCAACCGGAUACUAAAUGUUCACCAGGGUAAAAACUUUCUUAUUCAUUUAAAACUGGAGCAUUUCACAUCGGACAAACUUAUGAAUAUUAAUGUAUCGAAUCUGUUGCACUCGUGGCAAAAUUAUUAUCGCAUGUUUUUCGAAAUCAAAUAGAAUUAAUAACGAUUUCCCACUUAGAUUAACGUCACGCCAAUAAAGAUUUGUAAAUACAUCCUGUUCAUUGUGAAAUCUCUUCAACAAUCCAGGGUUUUCCCGCGUGUCAUCGCACAUUACACUGAUAUCAGAAACAUCACAGACAAUAGCACGCGAAACGGUCAGGCAGAGGAACGGUCAUUUAUGUGAUUGAGCGAAAGAAAUCAACCACAUAGUCGGGAAAGACAACGAAAACUCACGUGUCUUUCGAAAGAUAAAAUGUGAGGAAGCGGUUAACGAAAACAGUGAUUGGUAUACGUGGCACCGGAUUGGCCUGUGGCAUAGCUUGACAACACGCACGGUAUGUGCGCACAUCGGCAACCUGUGCACCCACUAACCACUAACCGCCGAACCACGGGAGGCCAAGGUGUGCGCGCGCCAGGAUAAUAUAUGUAUCUAUGUGCGUUAACCACGUGAGAGCGGCCAGCAUCUUUUCUUGGGGUCUCUUAGGUGGGGACUUAACCUAUGGACUGCUCUUUGUCUCUAUCUUUCUCUUGCAUGAACCUUGAAUCCUCGCAAAAUCGCUAGAACUUUUUAAUAUAUCAGUGAAUUUCUGAAUGCAAUCGCACAAAUUUUCAUUUUUCAGAAAUCAUUCCAUUUUUUUUAAAUCAUUAAUUCAACACUGUAAAAAAAAGAAGGUUCGAAUUCCUUUUGCAAAUUUCUUCUCCUCUUUUUGCUUUUUUAACAAAUUGCAUUGUCUGGAGAAAAACAAUUUCUUAAUAGAAAUAAAAGGCAACGUCUAUAAAUAGAUUAUCUUGGUCUGUUUGAUCUAUAAAUGGAGACCUAUUUUUUUUUCAUACCAAAAUAUAACUGUAACCGAGAUGUCGUUGUAUUUGUUUACCUAGUACAUUUCCUCGCGCAGUUAGUGUCGUUUUUUACUUUCAUUAUUGUACUACCAUUUAAUCAACAUGGUAGUUAGUAUCAGUGUCUCGUUUGCCAAGGUAGGCGCUUACUUUUUUAUUCGCCACCCCGUAGACGGCGAGUUCUCACUCAACAUUCCCGGCAAUCUCUGAUCGACGAGUUUUUAUGAAGGUCGUACGAACUACGUGAGUCUACCCACUUAUCCAGCUGCAUCGCUAAUAUAAAUGUUUAUGCUAUUUGUGAUUGCGUGAAAUGUGCGAAAAAUGGAUCAAAAUUAUGCACAUUAUAUAUAAUAUAAUACAUAUAUAACAUGUUAAAUGUUAAAAUAUACCGUAAAAAUAAUAAACAAUUGAAAGCAAUAAUAAUUUUACCAAAUUUUAAUUAUUACAUAUCUAUGUUUUCAAUUUUUGUUAUUCGAUUUUCAAAAAAAUCAAGAAACUCAAAUUUGUGAAACAUCAUAAUGUUCUCCAAAGUGUAGAUAGAGGGUCUUGUUGGACAAGACAUAGAUGCUCAAAGAAGUUGUAAUUUGAUAGCAAUAAUUGUGAUCUUUUGAAAUAAUAAUAUUUGAAUGAAUUUUCAAUACAA